UGGGGAAUAUUGGACAAUGGGCGCAAGCCUGAUCCAGCAAUACCGCGUGAGUGAUGAAGGUCUUCGGAUUGUAAAGCUCUUUUAGUAGAGAAGAUAAUGACGGUAUCUACAGAAAAAGCACCGGCAAACUUCGUGCCAGCAGCCGCGGUAAUACGAAGGGUGCUAGCGUUGUUCGGAAUCACUGGGCGUAAAGCGUACGUAGGCGGUUUAGUAAGUCGAUUGUGAAAUCCCGGGGCUUAACCCUGUGAACUGCAACCGAAACUGCUUUGCUAGAAUAUGGUGGGGGAUAGUGGAAUUCCUAGUGUAGGGGUGAAAUCCGUAGAUAUUAGGAGGAAUACCGGUGGCGAAAGCGACUAUCUACGCCAUUAUUGACGCUAAGGUACGAAAGCGUGGGGAGCAA
rnacentral:rRNA from 1 species